rnacentral:rRNA from 1 species
CACGUAGGGUGCGAGCGUUGUCCGGAAUUAUUGGGCGUAAAGAGCUCGUAGGCGGUCUGUCGCGUCGGCUGUGAAAACUCGGGGCUCAACCCCGAGCCUGCAGUCGAUACGGGCAGACUAGAGUGCGGUAGGGGAGACUGGAAUUCCUGGUGUAGCGGUGAAAUGCGCAGAUAUCAGGAGGAACACCGGUGGCGAAGGCGGGUCUCUGGGCCGUAACUGACGCUGAGGAGCGAAAGCGUGGGGAGCAAACAGG